rnacentral:rRNA from 1 species
GUAGGUGGCAAGCGUUGUCCGGAAUUAUUGGGCGUAAAGCGCGCGCAGGCGGUCCUUUAAGUCUGAUGUGAAAGCCCACGGCUCAACCGUGGAGGGUCAUUGGAAACUGGAGAACUUGAGUACAGAUGAGGAAAGCGGAAUUCCACGUGUAGCGGUGAAAUGCGUAGAGAUGUGGAGGAACACCAGUGGCGAAGGCGGCUUUCUGGUCUGUAACUGACGCUGAGGCGCGAAAGCGUGGGGGAGCAAACAGGAUUAGAUACCCUGGUAGUCCACGCCGUAAACGAUGAGUGCUAAGUGUUAGGGGGUUUCCGCCCCUUAGUGCUGCAGCUAACGCAUUAAGCACUCCGCCUGGGAGUACGGCCGCAAGGCUG